rnacentral:rRNA from 1 species
UAGGGAAUAUUGCACAAUGGAGGAAACUCUGAUGCAGCGACGCCGCGUGAGUGACGAAGGCUUUCGGGUUGUAAAGCUCUGUUCUCAGGGAAAAAGAAAGUGAUUGUACCUGAGAAGAAAGGACCGGCUAACUUCGUGCCAGCAGCCGCGGUAAGACGAGGGGUUCAAGCGUUGUUCGGAAUCAUUGGGCGUAAAGCGGGCGUAGGCGGCUCUGUAAGUCAGGAGUGAAAGCCCCGAGCUUAACUCGGGAAGUGCUUUUGAUACUGCGGAGCUUGAAUGUGGGAGAGGGUAGUGGAAUUCCAGGUGUAGUGGUGAAAUACGUAGAUAUCUGGAGGAACACCGGUGGCGAAGGCGGCUACCUGGCCCAACAUUGACGCUGAGGUCCGAAAGCGUGGGGAUCAAACAGGAUUAGAUACCCCUGUAGUCC